AUUGAACGCUGGCGGCAUGCCUUACACAUGCAAGUCGAACGGCAGCACGGGAGCAAUCCUGGUGGCGAGUGGCGAACGGGUGAGUAAUAUAUCGGAACGUGCCCAGUCGUGGGGGAUAACGUAGCGAAAGCUACGCUAAUACCGCAUACGAUCUAUGGAUGAAAGCGGGGGAUCGCAAGACCUCGCGCGAUUGGAGCGGCCGAUAUCAGAUUAGGUAGUUGGUGAGGUAAAGGCUCACCAAGCCGACGAUCUGUAGCUGGUCUGAGAGGACGACCAGCCACACUGGGACUGAGACACGGCCCAGACUCCUACGGGAGGCAGCAGUGGGGAAUUUUGGGACAAUGGGCGCAAGCCUGAUCCAGCAAUGCCGCGUGCAGGAUGAAGGCCUCGGUUGUAACU
rnacentral:rRNA from 1 species